rnacentral:rRNA from 1 species
CAGUAGCCACGGUAAUACGAAGGGGGCUAGCGUUGUUCGGAUUUACUGGGCGUAAAGCGCACGUAGGCGGCUUGGUAAGUUAGAGGUGAAAGCCCGGAGCUCAACUCCGGAAUUGCCUUUAAGACUGCCGAGCUAGUAGGUGAGAGAGGUAAGUGGAAUUCCGAGUGUAGAGGUGAAAUUCGUAGAUAUUCGGAAGAACACCAGUGGCGAAGGCGGCUUACUGGCUCAUUCUAGACGCUGAGGUGCGAAAGCGUGGGGAGCAAACAGGAUUAGAUACCCCGGUAGUCCCUGUCUCUUAUAC